ACUCCUACGGGAGGCAGCAGUGGGGAAUAUUGCACAAUGGGCGCAAGCCUGAUGCAGCCAUGCCGCGUGUGUGAAGAAGGCCUUCGGGUUGUAAAGCACUUUCAGUCGUGAGGAAGGUAGUGUAGUUAAUAGCUGCAUUAUUUGACGUUAGCGACAGAAGAAGCACCGGCUAACUCCGUGCCAGCAGCCGCGGUAAUACGGAGGGUGCGAGCGUUAAUCGGAAUUACUGGGCGUAAAGCGCAUGCAGGUGGUUUGUUAAGUCAGAUGUGAAAGCCCGGGGCUCAACCUCGGAAUUGCAUUUGAAACUGGCAGACUAGAGUACUGUAGAGGGGGUAGAAUUUCAGGUGUAGCGGUGAAAUGCGUAGAGAUCUAGAAGGAAUACCGGUGGCGAAGGCGGCCCCCUGGACAGAUACUGACACUCAGAUGCGAAAGCGUGGGGAGCAAACAGGAUUAGAUACCCUGGUAGGAUAGCG
rnacentral:rRNA from 1 species